rnacentral:rRNA from 1 species
GUGGGGAAUUUUGGACAAUGGGCGCAAGCCUGAUCCAGCAAUGCCGCGUGCAGGAAGAAGGCCUUCGGGUUGUAAACUGCUUUUGUACGGAACGAAAAGGCUCUGGUUAAUACCUGGGGCUCAUGACGGUACCGUAAGAAUAAGCACCGGCUAACUACGUGCCAGCAGCCGCGGUAAUACGUAGGGUGCAAGCGUUAAUCGGAAUUACUGGGCGUAAAGCGUGCGCAGGCGGUUUUGUAAGACAGGCGUGAAAUCCCCGGGCUCAACCGGGGAAUGGCGCUUGUGACUGCAAGGCUGGAGUGCGGCAGAGGGGGAUGGAAUUCCGCGUGUAGCAGUGAAAUGCGUAGAUAUGCGGAGGAACACCGAUGGCGAAGGCAAUCCCCUGGGCCUGCACUGACGCUCAUGCACGAAAGCGUGGGGAGCAAACAGGAUUAGAAACCCGAGUAGUCC